rnacentral:rRNA from 1 species
GAAGGGUGCAAGCGUUACUCGGAAUCACUGGGCGUAAAGCGUGCGUAGGUGGUUUUUUAAGUCUGUCGUGAAAGCCCUGGGCUCAACCUGGGAACGGCGAUGGAUACUGGAAAGCUAGAGUGCGGUAGAGGGGUGUGGAAUUCCCGGUGUAGCGGUGAAAUGCGUAGAGAUCGGGAGGAACACCAGUGGCGAAGGCGGCACCCUGGACCAGCACUGACACUGAGGCACGAAAGCGUGGGGAGCAAACAGGAUUAGAUACCCUGGUAGUCCACGCCCUAAACGAUGCGAACUGGACGUUGGGAGCAACUUGGCUCUCAGUGUCGAAGCUAACGCGUUAAGUUCGCCGCCUGGGGAGUACGGUCGCAAGACUG